AUACGGAGGAUGCGAGCGUUAUCCGGAUUUAUUAGGUUUAAAGGGUGUGUGGGCGGUAUUUUAAGUCAGUGGUGAAAUCUCGGAGCUUAACUUCGAAACUGCCAUUGAUACUGGAAUACUUGAGUAUAGUUGAGGUAGGCGGAAUAUGUAAUGUAGCGGUGAAAUGCAUAGAUAUUACAUAGAACACCGAUUGCGAAGGCAGCUUACUAAACUAUUACUGACGCUGAUGCACGAAAGCGUGGGGAGCGAACAGGAUUAGAAACCCUAGUAGUCC
rnacentral:rRNA from 1 species